rnacentral:rRNA from 1 species
GAUGAACGCUGGCGGCGUGCCUAAUACAUGCCAGUCGAGCGAACGGACGAGAAGCUUGCUUCUCUGAUGUUAGCGGCGGACGGGUGUGUAACACGUGGAUAACCUACCCGUAAGACUGGGAUAACUUCGGGAAACCGUAGCUAAUACCGGAUAAUAUUUUGAACCGCAUGGUUCAAAAGUGAAAGACGGUCUUGCGGUCACUUAUAGAUGGAUCCGCGCUGCAUUAGCUAGUUGGUAAGGUAACGGCUUACCAAGGCAACGAUGCAUAGCCGACCUGAGAGGGGGAUCGGCCGCACUGGAACUGGGACACGGUCCAGGCUCCUACGGGAGGCAGCAGUAGGGAAUCUUACGCAAUGGGCGAAAGCCUGACGGAGCAACGCUGCGUGAGUGAUGAAGGUCUUCGGAUCGUAAAACUCUGUUAUUAGGGAAGAACAUAUGUGUAAGUAACUGUGCACAUCUUGACGGUACCUAGUCAGAAAGCCACGGCUAACUACGUG